rnacentral:rRNA from 1 species
CGUCGCCGCGGUAAUACAGAGGGUGCGAGCGUUAAUCGGAUUUACUGGGCGUAAAGCGUGCGUAGGCGGCUUCUUAAGUCGGAUGUGAAAUCCCUGAGCUUAACUUAGGAAUUGCAUUCGAUACUGGGAAGCUAGAGUAUGGGAGAGGAUGGUAGAAUUCCAGGUGUAGCGGUGAAAUGCGUAGAGAUCUGGAGGAAUACCGAUGGCGAAGGCAGCCAUCUGGCCUAAUACUGACGCUGAGGUACGAAAGCAUGGGGAGCAAACAGGAUUAGAUACCCCUGUAGUCCCUGUCUCUUAUACA